AUGGUCCAAAACAGGGACAAGGUACCUCACAACAAUAACAACAACAACAACAACAAUAACAACAACAACAACAACAACAACAACAACAACAACAACAACAACGGGCACACAAGGCUUAUGUCCGCUUACCUGAUCAGGGUAGCACGCGCCCAUAACCUUCCCUCUUUGGAGGCACCGGCGAGAGGCAUGUCAAUAGACCCAGUUAGGACCCCCCAUAAGGCAAGUGUGGUUGCACUGGUCAGCUCGAUUUGGUGGCACCAUGACUCAGCGAAUAGUUGUUCAAGUUCAUUAUUAUCCGAUUAA
rnacentral:rRNA from 1 species